GGCUGGUCCGAAGGUAGUACGCUAUCUUACUUGAUUGUUCACAGUCAGUUACAGAUUGUACUCCUGUUCUACUACUUCCCCCCUCCUAACUACUGCACUUGACUAGUCUAAA
rnacentral:Y_RNA from 1 species